rnacentral:rRNA from 1 species
AACGAACGCUGGCGGCAUGCCUAACACAUGCAAGUCGAACGAGACCUUCGGGUCUAGUGGCGCACGGGUGCGUAGCGCGUGGGAAUCUGCCCUUGGGUUCGGAAUAACAGCGAGAAAUUGCUGCUAAUACCGGAUGAUGACGUAAGUCCAAAGAUUUAUCGCCCAAGGAUGAGCCCGCGUAGGAUUAGCUAGUUGGUGAGGUAAAGGCUCAACCAAGGCGACGAUCCUUAGCUGGUCUGAGAGGAUGAUCAGCCACACUGGGACUGAGACACGGCCCAGACUCCUACGGGAGGCAGCAGUGGGGAAUAUUGGACAAUGGGCGAAAGCCUGAUCCAGCAAUGCCGCGUUGAGUGAUGAAGGCCUUAGGGUUGUAAAGCUCUUUGUGCGGGAAGAUAAUGACGGUACCGCAAGAAUAAGCCCCGGCUAAACUUCGUGCCAGC